UGGGGAAUUUUGGACAAUGGACGCAAGUCUGAUCCAGCCAUGCCGCGUGCGGGAAGAAGGCCUUCGGGUUGUAAACCGCUUUUGUCAGGGAAGAAACGAGUUUCUCUAAUACAGAGACUUAAUGACGGUACCUGAAGAAUAAGCACCGGCUAACUACGUGCCAGCAGCCGCGGUAAUACGUAGGGUGCAAGCGUUAAUCGGAAUUACUGGGCGUAAAGCGUGCGCAGGCGGUUAUAUAAGACAGAUGUGAAAUCCCCGGGCUCAACCUGGGAACUGCAUCUGUGACUGUAUAGCUAGAGUACGGCAGAGGGGGAUGGAAUUCCGCGUGUAGCAGUGAAAUGCGUAGAUAUGCGGAGGAACACCGAUGGCGAAGGCAAUCCCCUGGGCCUGUACUGACGCUCAUGCACGAAAGCGUGGGGAGCAAACA
rnacentral:rRNA from 1 species